GACGAACGCUGGCGGCGUGCUUAACACAUGCAAGUCGAACGAAGAGCGACGGAAGCUUGCUUCUAUCAAUCUUAGUGGCGAACGGGUGAGGAACGCGUAAUCCACCUGCCCUCCAGAGGGGGACAACAGUUGGAAACGACUGCUAAUACCGCAUACGAUCUAAUCUCGGCGUCGAGGAUGGAUGAAAGGUGGCCUCUACAUGUAAGCUAUCACUGAAGGAGGGGAUUGCGUCUGAUUAGCUAGUUGGAGGGGUAACGGCCCACCAAGGCGAUGAUCAGUAGCCGGGCUGAGAGGGUGAACGGCCCCAGUGAGACUGAAAGACGGCCCAGACUCCUACGGGAGGCAGCGGUGGGGAAUCUUGCGAGAAGGACGGAAGACUGAAGGAGCAACGCCGGGUGGGUGAAGACGGCCCUCGGGUUGUAAGGAUCUGUUAAUCGGGACGAAAGGCCUUCUUGCGAAUAGAGAGAAGGAUUGACGGUACCGGAAUAGAAAGCCACGGCUAACUACGUG
rnacentral:rRNA from 1 species